GACGAACGCUGGCGGCGUGCCUAACACAUGCAAGUCGAGCGGGGUUGAAGCGAGGGGUAACUCGAGUUCUACCUAGCGGCGGACGGGUGAGUAACGCGUGGGCAACCUGCCUCAAGGACUGGGAUAACAGCUCGAAAGGGCUGCUAAUACCGGAUAAGCCUAUGGCCUCGCAUGGGGCCAUGAGCAAAGGGGAAACCCGCCUUGAGAUGGGCCCGCGUCCCAUCAGCUAGUUGGUGAGGUGAAGGCUCACCAAGGCGACGACGGGUAGCCGGCCUGAGAGGGUGACCGGCCACACUGGGACUGAGACACGGCCCAGACUCCUACGGGGGGCAGCAGUGGGGAAUCUUGCACAAUGGGCGAAAGCCUGAUGCAGCGACGCCGCGUGAGCGAAGAAGGCCUUCGGGUUGUAAAGCUCUGUCUGGAGGGACGAAGGAAGUGACGGUACCUCCGGAGGAAGCCACGGCUAACUACGUG
rnacentral:rRNA from 1 species